rnacentral:rRNA from 1 species
UACGAAGGGGGCUAGCGUUGUUCGGAAUUACUGGGCGUAAAGCGCGCGCAGGCGGCUAUCCAAGUCAGUGGUGAAAGCCCGGAGCUCAACUCCGGAACUGCCAUUGAAACUGUUUAGCUUGAGGAUGAGAGAGGUGAGUGGAAUUCCCAGUGUAGAGGUGAAAUUCGUAGAUAUUGGGAAGAACACCAGUGGCGAAGGCGGCUCACUGGCCCGGUACUGACGCUGAGGCGCGAAAGCUAGGGGAGCAAACAGG